UGGGAUUAUAACUUUAUUAAGGUCCACGGACAUUAUGCAUUAGGCUUUCCCAUUGGAAAACACUAGAAAACGAAAAACUGAUUUACAUGACUCUGGUC
rnacentral:snoRNA from 10 species